GAGAGAAGUUAGAUGGUUGCUGUAAGGGUCAAGAAUAGGCAGUGCUCAGAUGAGCUGCCUAUGAGAAACAUUGAGGAGUAGCAUCCAGGAGUGUGUGGUGCAUUUUGCCAAAGAGAGAAGACAGUGUGGAGUCUAAGUCAGGGGCUCAGAGCUUCGGAAAGCCCGAAGAAAUGGGAUAUAAAAAUUGACAGAUAAAUUGAGAGAGUUUUCUUUGACAUACGGGGCAUGAUCUUAGUUCAGCCUUUCACAAGAUGAUCUUCAUACCUUUCAUUGCUUCAGCAGAGUUUUCCUUUCCUCAGUGUGGUCCUCACAGAGUUUAUGGCCUUCACGGCCUCUUUGGGCUUUGAAAAUGGAACUGUUUUCAUGAAGAAUCAAACAAACCUUUUCCCUUGAAACUGCAGAGGAUUGAAUAACGUGUGGCUGAAGUGUUGAUCUGAGACUGAGUAGAUCACCAAAGCAACUUGUUAAGGCUACGGUCCAAUUAGGAAAUUACCUGUUAUCCUGACUGCCUACAAGCCUUUUAAAUAUUCUAUUGUUCUUCACCUGCUAAAUUGGAGUGAUGAUGAUAUUUAAAUCUCCUGUGUUUUCUGACUUAGUUUAAAUCUUUUAGAAGGAGCUCUCCUUUCCAUGUAUUUCUACCGCACUUAAUAUAACUUGGUUCAGCCUUUAUUAUGGUAUCCAUUUAUUAUAGCAGUAAAAUCUCAUUUUGUGCAGAUCAAGUAGUUUCUAUUAAUGUUUGUUCAUUGGGCUUACAGAA